rnacentral:lncRNA from 1 species
GCACUGUUCCAACGAGAGGCUGAACUCCAGGGCUGUACUCUUCAGCAGCUAAAGGAAGACCCCACAUUCACCAGAUACUUUUGAAAAUGCUGAAGAUAUUGUCCAGAGUUGUUCAUAAAAUGACUAAAACUCUUUCUAUCAAUUUGGAGUCAAAAAAGAAAGUUACUUGCCUUUGCCCCUGCAAUGCUUCAUCUGAGUCCUGCUUAAACACCUGUAAAAGAUUGCCAUAUCUAUCUUGAUAAAAUUGGACCAUUUCUAAUUGUUACUCAGUGAC